ACUCUCCCCUGAUGACCAGCACUGGGCUCUGAGUCUACAUGGAGAUUCUGUGCAUCUUUGGCCUGACAAGCCAAAGUGUCUGAGGAGACA